UACGAAGGGGCUAGCGUUGUUCGGAAUUACUGGGCGUAAAGCGCACGUAGGCGGAUUGUUAAGUUAGGGGUGAAAUCCCAGGGCUCAACCCUGGAACUGCCUUUAAUACUGGCAAUCUCGAGUCCGAGAGAGGUGAGUGGAAUUCCGAGUGUAGAGGUGAAAUUCGUAGAUAUUCGGAGGAACACCAGUGGCGAAGGCGGCUCACUGGCUCGGUACUGACGCUGAGGUGCGAAAGCGUGGGAGCAAACAGG
rnacentral:rRNA from 1 species